GGUCUCCGGGGACAGGGGACAGGUCCCCAAGGACAGGGGACAGGUCUCCGGGGACAAGGGACAGGUCCCCAAGGACAGGGGACAGGUCCCCAAGGACAAGGGACACGUCCCCGGGGACGUCCCCCGGUCCAGGAGUGGCCGAGGAGGAGCCUUGGGGACAUCGGGGACACCGCGAGCCAGGACACGUCCGGGGCCACCAGGAACAGCGACAGCCACGGUUGGGGACACUCGGAGGAGCCGCGGGAGUGGCCGUGACACCGGGGGGGACGUCCCGGGCCCGGGGCGCUGCCACCGUGUCCCCGUGUCCCCGAUGUCCCCAACCUGUCCCUGUGUCCCCACCCCGAUGUCCCCAACCCGUCCCGAUGUCCCCAACCUGUCCCCUCCUGUCCCAAUGUCCCCACCCCGAUGUCCCCAACCUGUCCCAAUGUCCCCAACCUGUCCCAGUAUUCCCAACCUGUCCCUGUGUCCCCCCCCCCGAUGUCCCCCCCCGAUGUCCCCCCCCGUCCCCAGUAAAGGUGGAGCUGCAGCGU